GUGAGGAAUAUUGGUCAAUGGGCGAGAGCCUGAACCAGCCAAGUCGCGUGAAGGAUGAAGGUUUUAUGAAUUGUAAACUUCUUUUGCAGGGGAAUAAAGUACGGUACGUGUACCGUUUUGUAUGUACUCUGCGAAUAAGGAUCGGCUAACUCCGUGCCAGCAGCCGCGGUAAUACGGAGGAUCCAAGCGUUAUCCGGAUUUAUUGGGUUUAAUGGGUGCGCCGGCGGGUUGAUAAGUCAGCGGUGAAAGUUUGCAGCUUAAUUGUAAAAUUGCCGUUGAAACUGUCGAUCUUGAGUGCACAUGAGAUAAGCAGAAUGUGUUGUGUAGCGGUGAAAUGCUUAGAUAUAACACAGAACACCGAUUGCGAAGGCAGCUUACUGGGAUGCAACUGACGCUCAUGCACGAAAGCGUGGGGAUCAAACAGGAUUAGAAACCCUUGUAGUCC
rnacentral:rRNA from 1 species